rnacentral:rRNA from 1 species
AUUGAACACUGGCGGAAUGCUUUACACAUGCAAGUCGAACGGCAGCACGGACUUCGGUCUGGUGGCGAGUGGCGAACGGGUGAGUAAUGUAUCGGAACGUGCCCAGUCGUGGGGGAUAACGUAGUGAAAAUUACGCUAAUACCGCAUACGAUCUAUGGAUGAAAGCGGGGGAUCGCAAGACCUCGCGCGAUUGGAGCGGCCGAUAUCAGAUUAGGUAGUUGGUGGGGUAAAGGCCCACCAAGCCAACGAUCUGUAGCUGGGCUGAGAGGACGACCAGCCACACUGGAACUGAGACACGGUCCAGACUCCUACGGGAGGCAGCAGUGGGGAAUUUUGGACAAUGGGCGAAAGCCUGAUCCAGCCAUUCCGCGUGCAGGAUGAAGGCCCUCGGGUUGUAAACUGCUUUUGUACAGAACGAAAAGGUUUCUACUAAUACUAGGAGCUCAUGACGGUACUGUAAGAAUAAGCACCGGCUAACUACGUGCCAGCAGCCGCCGCGG